GUCUUUCUAGGGCUUGAUCCAAAAGCCCACUGAAAUCAAUGGGAAUCUUUCCAUUGACUUCCAUGAGUUUGGGAUCAGGCCCCUAGCAC
rnacentral:pre_miRNA from 1 species